AAUUGAAAAACGUAAAUUAUUACGACGCGGAGAAUAUGGUUGCAUUUCUUCGUAAAUUAAUGUAUGCAGUUGUGACAGCUAUCAAUUAAAUCAUACAAUGUUUACCUGUUUUUUUGCGAAAGAUCGGAGUAAGAUCGUCAAAUGUAAAUUAUUCUGAAUUCUAUUCUGAGGAGCACUUUCGUUGGAUGUUGUGGGAAGCUUCGUUUGAGAAAAAAGGAGAAGUAAUACAGCCAAUCGCAUGAUGUUAUUUUGGGAGACGGAACAUUCACUUAUGCUCCCAAGCAUUUCAAACAAACUUAUACAAUCCACGUGUUCCAUCGUGGCUUUUAUUUGCAUGUUGCCACGUUCUUCCUCCCCUCAAAAGCGGCAGAAACUUACUCAGCUAUGUGGGAUUUAUUGAAACAAAUGUGUGUUAAACACACUGGUAAAGAAUUGAACGUUAAACUUCUCCUACUUGACUUCGAAUCCUCCGCUCACAAAGCCGCUAAAGUAGCCAUCCUGAGAAUACUAUUGGCUCCAGUUCAGACUCCUUCAAUGAAGACGAUCUGGACGAAGACAUUUCCUUUCAUGAACCACCCACCAGCCAUCCUGAGAAUACUAUUGGCUCCAGUUCAGACGACUCUGACGAUGGCAUUUUCUUCCGGCGAGAGUAUUUCCUUUCAUUAACCACCCACCAGCCAUCCUGAGAAUACUAUUGGCUCCAGUUCAGACGACUCUGACGAUGGCAUUUUCUUCCGGCGAAAGUAAAACCAAAAAUCUAUAAAGGAAGAGGACUUGCUGAUGCCGUUCUUCUCGGGGCUUGCCGCGUGCAUUCACAAUGAGCUGACACGCCUGUCUCGAGGUCCUAUCCCUUCCGACAUCAAAGGCCAGGAUCUAUGGUGGCAUAAUUGGUACAACCCGAGAAAGGGCAGGAUUGGAGAUUUCGAGGCGCGGGUACAGGAAUUACUCGAAGAAGACGUGCGUAAAACCAGCGGAAAGAUAGAUAUCAUGAUGGUCGUCGACGGAAGCCGAAAUAUCGGGAAGACGGCUUUCAGGUUAGCGCUGGACUCGGUGGCACGCCUGGAGAGAAUAUUCGACCUCGAUGAGGCCCACGUCGGUAUGAUCGUCUACUCAUUCUAUAUAUCCCGCACGAUUCCGCUGAUGCAUAAUUUGACCUCGGAGGAACUGAGGAUGGAAAUUCGAACGGCGGAAUAUCCGGAUGGAGAUAGCAAGAACACGUACCUCGGUAUGCUGGAAGCUAUCCAUAGUUUCAAAAGAUUACCGGAUAUUCGGCGAGAAAUCGGGGUGCCAAAACUCAUGGUGGUCUUCACCGAUGGAGUUCACGUUGUAGGGCCGGAUCAUGCUCUUGCAGCUGAAAUGGCCGCCAAAGCAGGUAUCAUAACCUGUUCUUUCGGAAUAGGUGAUAGUAUUGAUGACGGCGAGCUCCUGCGAAUCGCAAACAAUGACACGGACUUCACGUUCAGGACGGAUUAUCACGGAACGGUGCAAGAGCAGAUAGUUCUGAUCGCUCGACAGGUGAAGACGGUACCGCAAACGCCAAAAAUGGGAUCGGAAACGAUCGAGACGUUGAGGUAUGUCGGUGAGAAGAGAUACUAUCGAUUUGCGGUGCCAACGAUUGGUACAACUAUCACGUUGAUCAACGAGGAAGGCGAGACUCGCGGCUACUGGACAUUCACUGCUCUUCAACCUUCCAGUGCCGUCCGUGAUGGAGUCAUAUCAGAGGGGAGACGUUCAUCAAACCGCCACUCCUGUUUCUUGGCUCCACGUCGAGUAGAGACAUCGUGAUUGUAUUCGAAAGUUUUGCGAACAACAGUAGAAUGAGGAUUUGGAUCGACGAGGGAGAUACUACUGGAACUGCUGCCACCGACAUCGACCUAAUGUUAUACUUGCGUAUUGUUAUUUUCUGCUCUAGUACAGCUCUUUUGAAAUGAGAUAAGUAAUUGAUUAAAAGAUAUACCAGAACACGCAUAUUAUGAAGAAUUAAUAGUAUAUUUUCCCGGUAUAUGCGUGUUCUGGUGUAUCUUUUGAUUAAUUAUUUAUCUUGUAUUAUCAAAACACGCAAGAUGCGAUUCUCUAGUUAUCUUUUGAAAUAGCUAAUCUGAGUGCCCGACGAAAAAAGUUGAAGAUCAAAGUUUAUUUCUUUAGGUAGAGACUUCAAUCGGCCGCACUAUACUCGCUACUGUCCUUUCAUUUGGUUAUUUUCAAGGUUUGGAAUAUCUAAUUUCAGUGGCGGGGCGUGAAUGAUCGAUUAUCGAUAUUUCUCAUUUGAGGCAAAGGUAAAGAAUCGAUUAUUAAGGUUUUCGUUGCCAAAAUCCUGUUUAUCUGUCCUUUUCCAUAAGUUUGAGAGGGAAAUCAAUCGAUAUAUCGCAAAGUAUGUCACGCCACGGUCCAAUUUUUCCCGCGCCAAAAGGAGUGAGAACAAAUGUUGCGAACUACAAUUCGAAGCCUCAGUCCCACUGGAUCCGGGAACGACCCAUAGUUGUAUGAGGAGAUCAGUGUCGUUUGCAGGUUUCAAAUAUAAAGGAAAUAGAAUUGAAUUUAUCGACGGUGAAACUGCAAAAAUGCGGAUCUCGGUUGUGCGGUGCUUCAAAAUCUCCGCUCCUACUUACUUGAAAUUUUCACAGAAUAUUCUUCAAAGAGGUAAGAAAAUCACCGAAGUUUUCAUGAACUGACGUCUAUUGGUUUUCCGUGUAAAAAAUUAAGUAUAUUAAGUAUAGCGAGAAGUCUGCAAUGCCGCAAACCGCAAUUUCUGCAGUUUCACCAUCGAUAUGGAGUUUGCACACGUUUCUGCCUCGCCUUCAAUUUUCGAGGUAGACCAGAAUACAUCCUUUGUGCAUCAAUAGUUAUGUAUUCCGAGGAUCGUUGUCUACAAUUCUUGUCUCGAAGGAACGUCUGUCUAACUCCACUAGACAAUUUGUAUGCGAUUCUAUUAGGUUUUUAGGUGAUGUUGAUUAUUGCUUUUUGCUUUACACUAAGGCCAGUGCAAAAAAUACUGGCGUUCGCCCCGACAUAUGUCAGCUCGCUGCUCAUGAAGUUCGAACCUUCGUGAGUAUAAAGCUGAGAGCCUUGCAUUAAUACGGAUAUCCUAGUGACUUGACCUGUUUGCAGCACUGACAUACAGAUUUAUUCGAUGUUGAUCUCUGUGUGAAAUGCGCCAAAGGCAGCACUUUUGAAGGCCAAGGAGACGGAGUUUAAUGGCGAGUUUUGGAUUGCAAAUAAUUUGGUUAAAUGAUGGCCGAUUAUCCCCUAUCUCCCUACAGAAACCUUUUCGAACAUCUUUCUUUGACAAGAUGAUAGCAAGUUUUCAGCAGGUGGCUAGGAUUUUGUUUCGGAGGUGGGGGCUUGGUCGGGUAAGAAAGGUCGCUGCCCCCGGGAAUAAGGGGUCCAGAGGUCUCUCGAAAAUGUUUCAAAAAGCCCCUUAAAAACUAAUGUCUUUCACUAUUUUACAACUACUUUUAAGUGGCAAUGAAGCUACAGUCUUUCAUGAUAAUUUUAAACAUUUUUCAGCAAAAACACUCGCCGCUGCAA
rnacentral:lncRNA from 1 species